AGCGGAGGAAAAGAAACCAACAGGGAUUGCCUUAGUAACGGCGAGUGAAGCGGCAAAAGCUCAAAUUUGAAAUCUGGCGCCUUCGGUGUCCGAGUUGUAAUUUGAAGAAGGUAACUUUGGAGUUGGCUCUUGUCUAUGUUCCUUGGAACAGGACGUCACAAGGGUGAGAAUCCCGUGCGAUGAGAUGCCCAAUUCUAUGUAAAGUGCUUUCGAAGAGUCGAGUUGUUUGGGAAUGCAGCUCUAAGUGGGUGGUAAAUUCCAUCUAAAGCUAAAUAUUGGCGAGAGACCGAUAGCGAACAAGUACAGUGAUGGAAAGAUGAAAAGAACUUUGAAAAGAGAGUGAAAAAGUACGUGAAAUUGUUGAAAGGGAAGGGCUUGAGAUCAGACUUGGUAUUUUGCGAUCCUUUCCUUCUUGGUUGGGUUCUCCGCAGCUUACUGGGCCAGCAUCGGUUUGGAUGGUAGGAUAAUGAUUAAGGAAUGUGGCUCUACUUCGGUGGAGUGUUAUAGCCUUGGUUGAUACUGCCUGUCUAGACCGAGGACUGCGUCUU
rnacentral:rRNA from 1 species